UACGUAGGAUGCAAGCGAUGUCCGGAUUUAUUGGGUUUAAGGGGUGCGUAGGCGGCUUAUUAAGUUAGUGGUGAAAACGUUCUGCUUAACCGGAUACCCGCCAUUGAUACUGAUAGACUUGAGUGCGACAGAGGGUGUUGGAAUGUGUGGUGUAGCGGUGAAAUGCUUAGAUAUCACGCAGAACACCAAUUGCGAAGGCAGAUGCCUAUGUCGUAACUGACGCUGAGGCACGAAAGCGUGGGGAGCAAACAGG
rnacentral:rRNA from 1 species